GAUGAACGCUGGCGGCGUGCUUAACACAUGCAAGUCGAACGGAAAGGCCCUGCUUUCUUGCGGUGCUCGAUUGGCGAACGCGUGCGUAACACGUGAGUAUCCUGCCCUUGACUUUGGGAUAACUUCAGGAAACUGGGGCUAAUACCGGAUAGGAGCUCCUGCUGCAUGGUGGGGGCUGGAAAGUUUCGGCGGUUGGGGAUGGACUCGCGGGUUAUCAGCUGGUUGGUGGGGUAGUGGCUUACCAAGGCUUUGACGGGUAGCCGGCCUGAGAGGGUGACCGGCCACAUGGGGACUGAGAUACGGCCCAGACUCCUACGGGAGGCAGCAGUGGGGAAUAUUGCACAAUGGGCGGAAGCCUGAUGCAGCAGCGCCGCGUGCGGGAUGACGGCCUUCGGGUUGUAAACCGCUUUCGCCUGUGACGAAGCGUGUGUGACGGUACUGGAUGAAGAAGCACCGGCUAACUACGUG
rnacentral:rRNA from 1 species